rnacentral:rRNA from 1 species
UUCCGGUUGAUCCUGCCGGACCCGACUGCUAUCGGAUUGAGAUUUAGCCAUGCGAGUCGAACGUUCCCCUGUUGCGGGGAGCGUGGCGUACGGCUCAGUAACACGUAGUCAACCUGCCCUGGAGACAAGGACAACCCCGGGAAACUGGGAUUAAUCCUUGAUAGGUCAUCUCAUCUGGAAGGAGAGAUGGCUUAAAGGGGUACGCGGGCUUCUUCCGCGAAUUCGCUCCAGGAUGGGACUGCGUCCGAUCAGGCUGUUGGCGGGGUAAUGGCCCACCAAACCUGUAACCGGUACGGGCCUUGAGAGAGGUGACCCGGAGAUGGACACUGAGAGAAGGGUCCAGGUCCUACGGGGCGCAGCAGGCGCGAAACCUUCGCAAUGCGCGAAAGCGUGACGAGGUUAAUCCGAGUGACUCCCGCUGAGGGGGUCUUUUGUCAGCUGUAAAUAGGCAGGCGAAUAAGGGGAGGGCAAGCCUGGUGUCAGCCGCCGCGGUAAUACCAGCUCCUUGAGUGGUCGGGGCGAUUAUUGGGCCUAAAGCAUCCGUAGCCGGUUCCGUAGGUCCUCUGUUAAAUCCAACCGCUCAACGGUUGACCUGCAGAGGAUACCGCGGGACUAGGAGGCGGGAGAGGCGGACGGUACUCCGCGUGUAGGGGUAAAAUCCUUUGAUCCGCGGAAGACCACCAGUGGCGAAGGCGGUCCGCCAGAACGCGCUCGACGGUGAGGGAUGAAAGCUGGGGGAGCGAACCGGAUUAGAUACCCGGGUAGUCCCAGCCGUAAACGAUGCUAGCUAGAUGAUUCAUUCGCAAGUCGCGAAUGAAGUGUCGCAGGGAAGCCGUUAAGUCUGCCGCCUGGGGAGUACGGUCGCAAGACUGAAACUUAAAGGAAUGGCGGGGGAGCA